UGGACAACAGCUCAGAGUCAUGUGACCUCCAUGUGACCUGCAGGACUCACAACUCUAACAUCAGCAGCACUUUCAGAUGUGUCGACUGGUUCUGCAGUCAGGAGGGAGGAGAGCGAUCAGAGUCACGACCUCUGGGGCUCUCUCCAGGUCUACCUGUUAAACAACGUGAUCAACUGUAACCAUAGCAACCAGGUUCACUGGACCCACGACUUCAAUACUGCUAAACACCUUUGCUCCAAACAUGCUGGUUCCGUGUUCCUGGUGAAGAUGGUGGUGUUCUCUGUGGGUCUGAUCAUCAUGGUGUCUGCCGUCAUCAUUGUUCACCUCGUGGACUUCAAGAAGCACCAACAAAGAAAUGGAUGUCAAACACGUCACGCUGCCCGGGAGGAAAGCUCCCACUUAAAGGUCACCUUCUAAACCCGUGAUGAUGUUCCACUGACUCACAGCUGGUGGCAGCAACACACCAGGAGAAGAAAAGAGGAAGACGAGCGCAGAGCAGCAAACAUGGACGCAAACUAUUUAGGAUUUAAAGGAUUUAUGAAUUCAGCUUUGCAGAUAUUUCCUGGUGAAGGAAAGACAUUAAAAACGUGACUCAAAGAUGCAUUUUGGCAAGAAAAAACUUCAUGUAAAAAUCAUAGUUCACCUUUAAAACAAAUGCUGAUAAUCCAUUGAUUGUACACAAUAUAUCACACACACAAGACCAUGUCAAUAUGUUUUCGGUGAUUGUUAUCUUGAAUGUUUAAUCAAGACCAACUAUAUUUGAGCAAAUAACCUUAAAUACACUGUAUAAUACUGCAUACGGUCCCAUUGACCAAUAAAUACAUUUCAUAUGUGUCUGCAUGUACAGUAUUUACUUGUACAUAAUUCUGUUCAGCAGGUUUUGUUUUGGGUGGAAACUUAGAACUUGUUGAAGCUUCAUACUGAUCUUGUGUUUCAGUGAUUAAAAGGUCACGUGUUCCUC